rnacentral:rRNA from 1 species
UGCAAGUCGAACGGUAACAGGCCUAUGUGAUCCCUUCGGGGUGAACUUGGUGCUGACGAGUGGCGGACGGGUGAGUAAUGCAUAGGAAUCUGCCCUUUAGCGGGGGAUAACUCGGGGAAACUCGGGCUAAUACCGCAUACGCCCUACGGGGGAAAGCGGGGGCCUUCGGGCCUCGCACUAUUGGAUGAGCCUAUGUCUGAUUAGUUUGUUGGUGGGGUAAUGGCCUACCAAGGCGACGAUCAGUAGCUGGUCUGAGAGGACGAUCAGCCACACUGGGAUUGAGAUACGGCCCAGACUCCUACGGGAGGCAGCAGUGGGGAAUAUUGGACAAUGGGCGAAAGCCUGAUCCAGCAAUGCCGCGUGUGUGAAGAAGGCCCGAGGGUUGUAAAGCACUUUCAACAGUAAAGAAAAGUUCGGUGCUAAUACCACCGAACCCUGACGUUAGCUGUAGAAGAAGCACUGGCUAACUCCGUGCCAGCAGCCGCGGUAAUACGGAGGGUGCGAGCGUUAAUCGGAAUUACUGGGCGUAAAGCGUGCGUAGGUGGCUUGGUAAGUCGGAUGUGAAAGCCCCGAGCUCAACUUGGGAAUUGCAUUCGAUACUGCUAGGCUAGAGUAUGGUAGAGGGAAGUGGAAUUUCCGGUGUAGCGGUGAAAUGCGUAGAGAUCGGAAGGAACACUAGUGGCGAAGGCGGCUUCCUGGACCAAUACUGACACUGAGGUACGAAAGCGUGGGGAGCAAACAGGAUUAGAUACCCUGGUAGU